CUGAGGAUAUCAGAAUCUGUGGCUGCUCAAGUCUCGUAUACAAAAUGAGAAUUUGUAAUCAACUGCUGAAGCAUUUAUAUGGUCCUAUUUAGAACAUCCUGGGAUGCUCCUACUAUGUGGGAUCUUUUGGAGAAAAAAAUCCAUACCUGAGCAAGUGGAGAGAAGGGACCAGAUUCAGAGGAUACCCAUAAAAUGAUCUGCAAGGGAAAACAAGUUUCUGACCAAGCACGGUUACAACCACAUCUUCCUGGGACAAAUGAGGACAUGUAUCAAUUCCUCACCAACCUUCCAUACACCCCAGGCUUACCUAGGAACUGCCUUCAGCACACCAUGUCUACCAGAGUGGCGGUAUAUAAUCACUAUUCAACUCCACAGCCAGAGAGAGGUGCAGAAGCCAUCACAGGAAAUGACUAGAUGCCCCUGAGCUCUCUGUUGCUGCUGCCGUGCGGGUGACUGGGAAUCACAUAGUUAACUAAAAGCUUUUACUCAGCUUAAUUUCCUCUACUCUACAUGAUAAUUGCUCUGUUCAUUUUCGCUUUACCUUUAAAUUCAGGGCACAUGCACAAAGACAUAAUGGUGUAAGAGUGGAAAAGAGAAGAUGUAUUUUCUAAGCUGCCUGCAGUCUGACAAUUGUUUGAAUGUGUGUGUACAUUUAACAAGAUGGUAGAUUACAGCAUUACCUUAUCUUCAGGGUAAAACUGCCAUUCAGGAUCCAAAAAUCUCCUAAUGGUUUAUUGAAAUGGUUCCCUCUUGCAAUGCAUCAUCACAGUAGUUUAUGAUAAGGAGAAAAGUAUGUUCUGAUACAAAUCAAAUAAUGCCAAAUACAAAGAGUUGUAAGAGAAAUAGCUCACUUGGGAGAUAGAGAGAAUUGAAGAAAAUGUAUUGGGUGAGAGACGCUAACUAGACCUCUGGAAAGAGAAGUCAGCAAUGACCCAAAUGGGAUACUUGAUUCUCUUCAGUGGUCAAAAACCCUCAGGAGAAGGAUAAAUAGGUAUUUAUUAUUUGGUAUAGGACAUGAUAUUUUGAAAUACCUAUAUA
rnacentral:lncRNA from 10 species